AUCUGGCUGGCUCAGUCGGAAGAGCAUGAGACUCUUGAUCUCGGGGUCAUGAGUGCAAGCCCCAUGUUGGGUG
rfam:Felis catus isolate Cinnamon breed Abyssinian chromosome X, whole genome shotgun sequence.